ensembl:rRNA 5S_rRNA 5S ribosomal RNA
CAUGGCCACGCUACCUGAAGGUACCAGAUCUUAUCUGAUCUCUGAAGCUAAGCAGGGUCAGGCCUGGCUAGCAUUUGGAUGGGAGACAAAAGUAAUCCCAACCAUCCCUCAAAGGAGAAAGGACGCCCUGC